rnacentral:rRNA from 1 species
UACGUAGGUGACAAGCGUUGUCCGGAUUUACUGGGCGUAAAGAGCGCGCAGGCGGUCGUUCAAGUCGAGUGUGAAAGCCCCCGGCUCAACUGGGGAGGGUCAUUCGAUACUGAUCGACUCGAAGGCAGGAGAGGGAAGUGGAAUUCCCGGUGUAGUGGUGAAAUGCGUAGAUAUCGGGAGGAACACCGGUGGCGAAGGCGGCCAUCUGGCCCGUAAUUGACUCUGAGGCGCGAAAGCGUGGGGAGCAAACAGG